CUCAUUUAUGGGAAAAAUUCUUCAUCCAAAAAUAGACCCUUCUUGCUCAAGUUAGAGCCUGAGGCUUAAGGCAUUAGCAGCCUGGAACCAUAACAAUACAAAUAUUUGAGAAGCCCAAAUGGGGCUGAAUGGCAUUUGUGCACUAUGCUGUCAUUGUUUUGUUAUUGCCAGUUCAAUAACCCUCAUGGGAUUGCUUUCUCAGGACUUUUUUCCUGCACAUUAACUGCAUAAACAAGAAGAAUAUGUGCCAUCUGUUGGCACUCAAAUUAAGUAUGAAAAUAUUUCUCUCUCUCUCUUUUUUUUUUUUUUUUUGAGUCCCCAGCAUAAGAAAGACAUGGACCUGUUAGAGUGAGACCAGAGGAUGGCCACAAAGAUGAGAGGCUGGAGCACCUCCCCUAUGAAGACAGGCUGAGGGAGUUGGGGUUGUACAGCAUAGAGAAGAGAAGGCUCCGGAGAGAGCUUACAGCAGCCAUCCAGUACCUAAAGGAGGUUACAGAAAAGCUGGGAAGGAACUCUUUGUCAGGGUGUGUAGUGAUAGGACAAGGGGUGAUGGCUUUAAACUAAGAGAAGGUAGGUUUAGAUUAGGCACUGGGAAGACAUUCUUUAGCAUGAGGAUGGUGAGACACUGGAACAAUCUGCCCAAAGAAGCUAUGGUGCCCCAUCCCUAGAGGUGUUCAAGGCCAGGCUGGAUGAGGCUUUGGGCAAUGUGGUCUGGUGGGAGAUGUCCCUGCCCAUGGCAGGGGAGGGUUGUAACUGGGUGAUCUUUAAAGUCCCUUCCAACCUAAAACAUUUUGUGAUUCUGUGAUUCUAAGAGGGGGAAAAAAAAUAUCUUUGUGGCUUGCAAAAUAUGUGAAGUGAAAUGGUCAUUUAUAUGGUAAGAAAUGCUUUUUUUUUUUUUUUGUAUGAACUUCUCAGGCAGCCAGUGGCAGUCCACACCUUGCCCUGCCCAGAAGGAACCAGCCAUGGUCCAAGACUGUCAGUCACAAUGCUUCUUCCUCUUGAGAUUCACACCAUGAAUUGUUCCUGCAGGCAUUUUGGCCAAGUCAGCUGGAUGGUACUCAACACCCCUCUACUUCUGCCUUCUCACAGGAACACCAGAAAGCUGGACCAGGACAAAUUGAGCCUGGCUGUUGGCUGCAAGAUGGGCCCAAAAUGUUAACAUUCUCCUUCCUGCCUGAUCACUUACCUGCCACAAGCCCAUAAACAUCUGACCUUACCUCAGGUAUGCUCUUCUAACCCUACAUAUAUAGUGGGGAUAAUGGUGUUUUUUCAGAGCACUGUGAAAUCUCCUGGUGAUAGUGGUAUAAUAAGAGACAUGAUAAAAAUACCAUAUAUAAAAUAGUAACUGUAGUGGUGGCAAUGCACUCAAGUUUUAAAAACUCAAGUUUUAAAAAUCUAGGCCUCUUUUGAGUAAACCAAUGGGAAUUUCAUAGGUAACUCUGACAGUUUUGGUCCAAAACAUGCCACAGGAAAUUGACAGGAUGUCUGCAUGUAAGACAGAUAGAAGUUAGAUAAAAUACGGCUCUAAAUCAGCGGCAGAUUUCAGCAGAAUUCCUUACUCAGGUAGGUAGUGACUGCAUGUGAAGUGCCACUUGCAGGCCAGUUGGUAAUCCACGGGCACUUCUGGCAGGUGUAAAACAAAAAACAAACAAACAAAAAAAGGCAACAAAAUACCAAGAAAAUGCUACAUUUUGGCAAGCGCCCUCUGCUGUCACUGUCAAAUGAUUUUGUUCAUGGUGCACUGAGUUUUCUAGCUUUUCUGUAGCAUAGGUGUCCUUAAUUGCAUUGUCUAACAGAGUAUUACAGGAAAUGUUUCUGUCUGAAAUACACCAUAUUUGUAAACCUGACUGAAAGCAGAACUGAAAGCCACUGUAAAAAAAAAAAGAGAUUAAAAAAUACAGAUUGUGUUUUAUGGUCUUGGUGUCUCUCCAGUCCCACAACUGAAUCUGUUCAUACAGACAGCAGCAGGCACAUGCAAAGCCAUUACCCUCAGUUUGUGCACAGAUGCAGGAGUCUGCUCCUAUGGUUUAGAGAGAAUCUGGGGGUUUGUCUUGACUUUGUUUGUAAAAGAAUGUUUUUUAAACUAUGAAACCAUAAGAAUUGCCAGUGUCAACAAAACCUAACUAGCAAAGAGCCUGAACAACCAAGUCGGUCUCAAG
rnacentral:lncRNA from 1 species